CCAGAAAUAAACCCAUGCUUAUAUGGACAAUUAUGAUAAAGGAAGCAAGAAUAUACAAUGGGAGAAAAAGUCUCUUUAAUACAUUGUGUUAGGAAAACUGGAUAGCUACGUGCAAAAAAGACCAUUCUGGAAAGCAGUAUGUUAAGUUCCUCAAAAAACUAAAAAUGAAAAUAAUAUACAACUCUGUAAUUCUACUUCUGGGUAUAUACCCAAGAAACAAAAACACUAAUCUGAAAAGAUACAUGCACCCCUAUGUUUAUUGUAGCAUUAUUUACAACAGCCCAGAUAAGGCAGCAACCUAAAUUGUCCAUUGAUGAAUGAAUGAAUAAAGAAGAUGUGGUACAUAUCUACUAUGGAA